GCUAGCGUAGCUCAGUUGGUAGAGCUCCGGUUUUGUAAACCGGUGGUCAAGGGUUCAAGUCCCUUCGCUAGCUCCA
rnacentral:tRNA from 2 species